rnacentral:tRNA from 1 species
GGAUUGUGGCUCAGUGGUAAAGCACCUGCCUAGCAUGUAUGAGGUGCUGGGUUCGAUCCCCAGCACCA